GUUUACAUAAAGCUAAAGAUAAUUUUAAAAUACCAAAGUCUUUUUUAGAUACUUUAAAUGGAAAUCUUCAGUUUGCCAGCAGAACUCUCUCGUCUUCAAAUUAUAUUCUAUAGUCAUAAUUCUGAAGUAUCAUCCAACUAUUUGGUAAACAGUUUCAGGGAUUUGCUGUUUCAAGCAGAUUUCUGUUACUACAAAAUGUUGAUAUGAUUAGCAACACUUUGAUAUUUUCAUUACAGGGAGCCAAAUUUUACAUUGAUUUAAUUUUUGACAGGAAAAAAAUUCUGUUUUAUAGAUCAUUGUCAUACUUGUUUUCUGAUUCUUUUCCAUAGACUAACAUGGAAUUUUAAAAACUUAUUAAGUAUUGAUUAUUCUGUUUAAAGGCAUAUAUAGUAAUUUAAAACCUUCUUGCCAUAUUCUAUGCAGAAAGUAGAUAAAAUAUUGGUGGAGCAAAGGCAAGUAAAAGUUGUUGGGAGUCCAGUUGUGCAUGUGUACUCAGCAAUUUUAACAUACAAAUUUUAUUCCAUUUAAUGGUAAGAAACAUUUUCUUUCUUUGCCUAAAGGUCAUCUAUAAUUGAGAACAAGUUAGCCAGAGUCUGGAGGCUGAGUGUGGCUUUGAUCUGGGUAUCCAGCUUUUCUUGGUGCAAAUCAUUCUGGGGAGAAUGAAACCCCAGGCUCCACUGGCAGCAAAGCGGCAGAGAAGGAGAGAAGAGAAGAAGCACGUGAACAUGGAGAGGAGAGGCAGCAGCUGGACUUUGCAGACUACAGUCGGAAAGGAGUUCAGCCAGAAAUACUUGGAGAGAAAUUUGGCUGGACAGCAGAACUCCAGGGAAAGAGAAAGGUCACCUUCCUGCUCCAACCCCUUCCAAGUCUCCCUUCCCACUGAGAGCCACUUUUUUCAUCAAUAAAAUCCUCUGCGUUCACCACCCUCCGAUUUGUUUGUGUAACCUCAUUCUUCCUGGACGCUGGACAAGGACCCAGGUGCGGGUGCAAAAGGCUGUUACGCUGACCUUCCACUGAGCUGUUU
rnacentral:lncRNA from 13 species